rnacentral:rRNA from 1 species
UAGAUGAUUUAUUGAUUUUAUUGGAGGGUAUAGCACUGAAUAUCUCAUUGUUUAGAAGGGAGUAUGAGAAUACUUACUUUAGAUAUUUAAUCUCAGAAUAACUAAUAAAUUAAAUAAGUUAUCAGACUUUUUGCGAUAAGGUGAA